UCCAACUGUCCAUUGAGUUAGGUCAUUUGUUAGGUUUCUCUGACUCUCUCAGUCGCUCACUCUCUUAGUCUCUCUCACAGACUCACACUCUCACUCACAGUCCCGCCGCCCCGCUCCUCCAUCGAAUCCACGCUGCUCCUCGUCCUCCAUCGACUCACACUGCUCCUCCAUCGACUCACGCAAAUGCAGGAAGGAAGACUCGAAUCCGACACCAAUCGAGUCCCAAAAUCCAGGAUGGACGGGUCUGGUAGUGGUAGUGGUAGCCAAUCACAAUCUACUAGUACACAUAGGACCCUGGAUUUGAAAACCAUUGUUGUCACAAAAGGUGAUGGGGGGGGGGGGGUCAAGUUUUCGCUCACACUUUCAAUCAAAAAAGACUUGAUAUGAAAUGUGUGAAGUGGAUAAUAAAAGUGGAGAUGCCUUUUAGGGUGGUUGAUCAAGAGGACUUUAGAGAUUGGAUCCAUGACUUGAAUCCAAAGACGAGCUUCCAAAUAGGCACAAGGUGGCGGCGACGGUUUUAGAAUUGUAUUUUACAGAGAAGGGAAAAAUCAAGGGUGUGGUUGAUUCAUCAACACGGGGAAGGGGCCAAAGGGGCAAAAGGGAAUGAACUUACUUGAGUUUCAUUUUGGUUGCAUGCACUUUCUUGCUUAUAAACUAUGUUUGCUUUUGGUUUGUAACUUAAUCUAAAUUCAUUCGGAAGUUUGGUUUGUAAAACUUAACUUAUUUCAUUUUGGUUGCAUGCACUUUUAAUUAACUAGUUUGGUAGACAAUUGUGAACUUGA